CGGGGAGUGGGCUGAGUUCGAGGCCUUCGAAUGAACCCAGGGGGCAGCCAGAGGGCCCCAUGCUCACGGCGCCGCCGCCGGAUGAGCUGAAGGACGAGAAGAGCCCCAAGGGCCAGGAGGAGCACCCCAGCCACUGCUUCCUGAUAUCGGGUUGGUCACUAUACCCCUGGGGAGACCUGUCUCCCUUAAAAGUAACUUGGAGGUUCUGCUUCCCCACUCAUCUGUGAACCACCUGCCUCUCAGGCAAAAAGACCCUAGGCCAUCCAACGUUGGAAUUGGAAGCAGGGUUUGGGGCUCAGAGCAGCUAACUGCAGGUGCAAUCUCUGAGAGCAGAUUUGGGGUCUGCUGAGAUCUCAUACUACUGAGUUAGAGACAUUCCAGAAGUCUCAGCUUUCUAAACAGGUAAGUUGGUUCUGAAGAUGCUUUUGGCCAAUAAAAGGAAAGGUGGGAGCACCUGGCUUUGAGGAAGUGGCUGAGAUUGUGGUGAGGGUGGUGGUGCUGGGUAAUAAUGAGGCUCUGAGAAGACCCAGGACAAAUACAGUGAUGCCGGCACUUCAUUCACUUAUUGACAUUUGUGUAGCACUACAUCCUUGUAUCUUGGGGUGAGAUCCCGUUACUAUCCCCAUUUGACAUUGAGGAAGCUGGGGCAGAAAAGGUCAAGAAACUAGCCUAAGGUGGUUGCCUAGAGAGUGGCUGAAUCUGGAGAAGUCAGUAGUCACCUCCAGCAUCUGUUCUUCUCAGUACUAUUUGCUGCCGGACCCCCACUCCACCCAGCAGUAGGUGGUUUGAAGCUCUUUUUUGUCUGACCAGGACACAUUUUAUCGUUUCUGUGCUAUCUCUCUCCUGGGAUCCUCUUAUUAUUAUUUUUUUUUUUAAGUAGGCUUCACACCCUGUGCCAACGUGGGGCUUGAACUCAUGACUUGAGAUCAAGACCUGAGCUGGAAUUAAGGGUCAGAUAUUUAACCGACUAAGCUACCCAGGCAGCCCCCUCCUGGAUUCCUUUGUCCUGAGGCAGAAACUCCUCAGAGAUAGAGGAUGAGGGUCAACUUUUCAUGGGGAAUUGAUGGAGCCCUCUGUUGGGAGUAAGGCCAGUUGCUUUGUCCUGAGCAGCCUUUGUCCUGGGUCCCCAGCCCCAUCAGCAUAAUGCCUAGUAGCAAAAACUCUUCUUGUUCUGGGGAUUAUUAUCAGCCUUGAGCCCUUCUGUCUGUUCUGAGGCCCAGAGCUGUGGGCUGGCCCUCCUCAUCUCUGUAGGUGUUCUGCCUCCUGCCGUGUGUCUCUCCAGCCCCGAGGAAAUGGAGGAUUGCCGCAGAGGCUCUUUGCUCUCCUGUCUCACCUCCCUGCUUCUCUUCUUCCAGUUGCCUGCUGGGGGGUCUGCAGAGGAGUUUGUGGUGAUUGGCCCCUCGGACCCCAUUGUGGCAGUGAUGGGUGGGAACGUCACGCUGCCCUGUCAUGUGUCCCCAGCCAUGGAUGUGGAAAACAUGGAGCUGCGGUGGUUCCGCUCCAAGUUCUCAGAGGCAGUGUUCAUCUAUGAAAACCAGCAGGAACAGAAAGAAGAGCAGCUGGCUCAGUACACAGGGCGGACCUCGCUGGUGAAGGACUUCCUCAGCCAGGGGGAGGCCACUGUGCGUAUCCACAAGGUCCAGGCUUCCGACAACGGGCUGUAUACCUGCUUCUUCAGAAAGGGAAGUUUCUAUGAAAAGGCCAGUUUGGAGCUGAAGGUGGCAGGUGUGGGCUCUGUCCCUCAAGUGCACAUCACAGGGCCAGAGGAGGAUGGGGUCCGAGUGGUGUGUACGGCCUCGGGAUGGUUCCCAAAGCCCCAGAUACAGUGGAGAGCUGCUAAUGGGGAAAAGUUCCUGACAUUCUCUGAGACCCAUGCCCAAGACACUGAAGGGCUGUUCAGCGUGGAGUCUGCUCUGGUGGUGAGGGACAGCUCUUCAGGGAACAUGACCUGCUCAGUCCUCAACCCCGUCCUGGACCAGAAGAAGGCGAUGGCCAUUUUCAUCCCAGAGCCCUUCUUCCCCCAGGCCUCUCCCUGGAAGCCAGCUUUCAUAGUGAGCCUCGUGGUGCUGAUGCUCUCACUCCUUGGGACUGCCUGUUACACCAAGACAGUACAUACUGUAAAGAGGCAGGAGAUGCAGGAAUGGGAGAGACUGCACAGGGACAAGGAGGAGGCCCGGCAGACAAAGGAGGAGGCGUUGAAGGCCAGAGAUGAACUCCAAGAAGAUCUCGGCAGGAGGAAAUCCAUUUACCUGGGUGGCUGGAGGAAGGCGCAGUUGUAUGCAGAUUGGCGGAAGGAGAAGUUCCAGGCCUUGUCUGUCACUCUGGAUCCAGCGUCUGCACAUCCCCACCUUGCUGUCUCUUGUGGACAGACUAGUGUGACCUUGGAGGACACAACUGAGGACCCAGGAAGAUCCUGUAGCAUCUUGGGCCAGGAGGCCAUCACAUCAGGGCGCUGCUACUGGGAGGCAUGGGCUCUGUCCCCAAAGUACACCUCACCAGGCCAGAGAGGGACAGGGUUUCAGUGCACAGCCUUGGAGUGGCUCCCAAAGCCCCACGUGCAGUGGAGGUCCCUCAGUACGGAGAAGUUCCUGGCAUUCUCAGAGACCCAUGCCCAACAUGCUAAAGGGCUGUUCAGUGUGGAGGCUGCCUGGUGGUGAGUGACAGGUCUCCAGGCAAUAUGACCUGCUCAGUGCUUAGCCUCAUCUGACCUGCGACCAUAUUGCCAGCUGUUUUGCCUUCAAUGCAACUAGUUCUCAGUCAGCACCUGGAAGCCACAAACCAGGUAUCAUCCCAAAUAUGCCUGAGGACAUCCCGAGGAAGUACAUGCUAGAAUAAUCUCCAUUGCACAGGAAGGACACAGACCAUCCCUGAGAGGCACAAUGGCUUAUCCACGGUCAAAAUCAGAACUGCACACCAGAGAUGGGGCAGGAGUUGAGUGAUGAGAUCCACUGCUCAACUUCCGUGAAGGACAGGAAUAUGCCCCACACCACCAACAGGAUGCAGCACCGAAGCGGCUCAGGGGGAGUGCAGGGUAAAAAUGCCUCAACCGUGAAUAAGAAUGAGACCAGUGUGGUGUGGACCAUCCAGGCAGGCUUGCUGGAUAAGCAAGUGUAGCAUCCUGUGCCUGUCUUCCUGGGCAGAGACCGCUGCCCCCCCGCCCCCAUGUCUCCAUGUUCCUGGACAUGUACAGAACUUUUCCACUACUGAAAAGGUGCUGGAUUUGUUGAUUCCAAGGUAUGGAUGCAUCCUUUCUGAAAUGGGAUGAAGAUGGCAGACCCCUGGAGCAGCAGAAAAUGGCCAUCUUCUCCAUUCUGGGCACCUGGAUGGCCCACUCCCCUGAGGAUUUUUUCCAACCUGCAGAAUUUCCCUGCCUGAAGAUGCUGCUGGCAUACAUGGGGCUUAGCAUGCUGGGCUCACACCUGGAGCACCAUACGUCUGUUUUCCUCUCAUAGCUGGGACACAUGGAGCCCAAUGAGCCAGAGGUUGAGGCUAUAGCACCCGUUCCGGAGCAGGAUCCAGAACCAACUCAAGAGCUAGCCCCAGCUCCCACUGUGGUGCCUGCUGCAGCUUCAGAGCCCGAGGUGGCUGAAGCCAUCACUCCUGCUGGAGCUCAGCAAUUAGGAAAAGCAGUGACCCUCCCUGCAGUGUCAGAGCCAGUGCAGGUGGUAGUUAUAGCUCUGAUUCACUGUCAGGAGCUGGAAGAACCACCUGCACCUUUGGCAGCCCUGGAGCAUGAGCAGGCCCCAGCCCCAGCUACUGGGGUUACGGAAGGACUAGAACAACCACUUGCUACAGCUGAACAACCAGCCUCAGCUCCCAAGCAGUGGCUCGUGUCGGCUGCAGCCCCAAAGGAUGGCUUCCCCUCCCCUGUCGUUGCUUUUUUUUUUUUUUGAAAUUUUUGUUUUUUUUUCAGAUAUGGAAUGGCUUAGUGUAUUUUGUUUUAUAAGUAAAGUAUAAAUUGACUUCAA